AAAGAAACAGAGAAAGAGACGAAAAACAGGGGAAGAAAAAAAGGAAAGAAAAGAAAAGGGGAAAUUGAGAUUUUUAAGCUUCAAGUUAAUUAGUAAGCUAAAUUUAGUCCUUUUCUCUUCAUUUUGAUGUUUUUUUUUUGGAACCCUAGACUGAAAUACUCUUAGAUUUAAGUUGAAAAUUUGAAAGUUAAUAGAUUUUUUUUAGUAGGGUUUAUGUUGAAUAAAUGAUGGAAUUGAUGAUUUAUUUGAUAGAGUUCUAGUUAGAGUUGAUAAAAGGAUUAAAUUAUGAACUAAACUAUAAGUUUUGAAUUUUAGGGAUUAAAUUGAGGGAAAUUCGAAAUUAGUGAAAAAUGUUGAAAAAAAUUAGUAGAUAAAAUUUAGUUUGGAUGAAAUUUGAAUAGAAAUAGAGUGUGAAUUAAAUUGGAAAAGUAAAUAAAUUUAGUUAGGAUUAAAUUAGAAUUAAAGUAUAAAUUAGAUAGAAAUUCUAUUAUUAUUAUAAAUUAAUGUUGUAAAUGAUGGUGUAAAUUAUUAUUAUUUUCGUAACUAACAAGGAACUCGAGACAUCGGCACACAAAGGAAAGGAGAAGAUUAUUGAGGAAUAAUCGAGCCAAUUCAGGUUUGUAUUACUAUAAUUCAAGUUAUUUAUUAUUAAAGGUUAAAUUUUAAUUUAUGAGAUUGGUAAAUGGGAUGUGAGGUAAGUAUUAUUAUUAUUAUUAUUAUUAUUAUUAUUAUUAUUAUUAUUAUUAUUAUUAUUAGUGUGAAUUAAAUUAAAUAAUUGAUAUGAAUUAAUAUUUGAAUUGUUUGUUGAUUGAAAGCGGAAAUUGAAUUUGAAUCGAAUUGUGACUGAUAUUAAAUUGAAUGGAAAUGUAUUGAGUUGUGAAAAUGUGUGAAUUUGUGGAUUAAUUAUCGAUUGAAAGGUGGAAAAGUGAUUGAAUUGAAAAUGUGAGAAAUUGUGAUUGAAUUGAGGUAAUAUGUGAUUUAAAUACCCUAUUAACUAGUCGGGCUAAGUCGGAUAUAGUUGGCAUGCCAUAGGAUUUGGAUGAGUACGGGAUUUAUCCGCUUUGCCGAUCAGGCACUUUAUGUGUCGUAUCUCAGGCACCUCGUGUGUCGUUUUAGGCACUUAUGUGUCGUAUACUGAUCAGGUACUACGUACCGUUAGGCACAAUGUGCCGUAUUGGUGUGUUUGGGUUGGAAUCCGUGUAUCCAUCAAAGUCCAAAUUGUUAAUAGGGUGAAUAAUUGAAAUGAGAAAAUUUAAAAAUUAUAGAUUGAAGAUGAGAUUGAAAAUGAAAGGCA
rnacentral:lncRNA from 1 species